rnacentral:lncRNA from 1 species
AGUAACUGGACAAGGCAGUGGUCCUGUCCCACAGUCUGCUCUCAGGCAGCCUCCUGGAAAUCAUUGGCCAGAUUUAACAAAUAAAAAAACCAAUUCCCGGUUGAAUUUGAAUUUCAGAUUAAGCAAGGUGCAAAGGAGUAGAGGGCAGUGAGAUACAGUGGCUUGAGGGCGGACUGCAACAGAGGGGAGAUGAAAGGACGAAGAAGCAGAAGAGACCACUGAGAAGAGGUUGUCUAGGAUGUCUCUGGAGUUCAAUGAAUAUUUCACAAGCCCACAAGGAAUAUUUCACAAGGCAAAUAUUUCCCAG